AGGGGACCCGGGCAAUAAGGCCGGGCAGCCCGGCCCAGCUCCCCUGUGCUUCCUCACCCCGUGCACGGGAAACCUCUGGAAGGGAGGAGGCUGGAGGCAGAGGAGCCAAGGGGCGGCUCUGCCGGGCAGGGCGCCACCCUGAGGAGAUUCUCCAAGGGCCACCUGCCAGGACAGCUGCCCAGGUGGGUUCGCCGGGUACGUGGGAUUCCCACUUUGUGGCAGUCACUGACCUUCAGUCACCCGGGAGGAAGCCUCAAGGCCACAGGGGCCUCAUAAUCUCCCCACCGAGUUCCUGGAGUCGGCCCUUGGAGGUCAUUUGGGUCAAGGGCAGCAGCCAGGCGUCCGAGUCCAUCUGCCGUCCCUCCCGUCUUCUGGGUCCCCGGAGCCGCAGCCGCGCGUCUAGAGAGCCCAGCAGUGGAGACAAGAAUGAGCCUGACUCCUGCGGCUGGCUGGCGGCACCCUCUUCUCUCCUGGCAAGUGGUUCUUGCUGCCUCUCUGCCCUGCGGCUCCCCACCCACCGCCCUUGCUUCCUACACAGCGCCUGUUUCAUCUCUGGACUUCUAGGGGACCACCUCUUGGCCCAUGGCUGUAGCUGCCUGGGAGAAUGUCCUCCAUCUGGAGCAGCACAAUCAGAAAGGCAUCUCUUCCUCCAGGCUCAUGCCAAGGGUAUGACUCGGCUGGGGCUGCCUCCUCGACUCUCUGCCGAGGCCCAAGGCUGGGAAGUGUCUGGGAUGCACACGUCACAGGGGCGGCUCUGGCUUCAUCCCCAUCCUCCAUCUCGUGCCCUUUCCCUUCAGAAAGCUCCUGCUGUGGACAGGCGAAAGGAAAGCUCUCGACAAAAUCUUUCAUCUCAGCCCCCUCCCAACUAAAUUAAGACCAAUAAAACUCCCACUCAACAAAUCCACAGGCCAAAAUAAA
rnacentral:lncRNA from 1 species